rnacentral:rRNA from 1 species
AGAGAGAGACAUGCGCGCAUAUCAAUAAGCGGAGGAAAAGAAACUAACUAGGAUUCCCUCAGUAACGGCGAGUGAAGCGGGAAGAGCUCAAAUUUGAAAUCUUAAAGGGUUCUACCUUGACGAAUUGUAGUUUAAAGAAGUGUUUUCUGUUGGAGGUUUUGGUAAAAGUUCUUUGGAAUAGGACAUCAUAGAGGGUGAGAAUCCCGUAUUUGACCAUUAUUUCCAGCUUUGUGAUACACUUUCAAAGAGUCGGAUUGUUUGGGAAUGCAGUCCAAAAUGGGUGGUAAAUUUCAUCUAAAGCUAAAUAUUGGCUGAGAGACCGAUAGCGAACAAGUACCGUGAGGGAAAGAUGAAAAGAACUUUGAAAAGAGAGUUAAACAGUACGUGAAAUUGUCAAAAGGGAAGCGUUUGACACCAGUGUUGUUUUCUCGAAAAUCAAUUAAAAAAGGCAGGAUUUUGUGUUGUAUUGACUUUAUCAGCUUUCUGCACUCUUUUCUUGUCUUUUUUAAUGCACUUUUCGUUUAACAAGUCAACAUCAAUUUCUUUUGUUGUAAAAGGGUCAUUGGAAGGUGGCUUUCUUUUCGGAGAAAGUGUUUAUAGCCUUUGGCCUCUGCAAUCGGAGAGAUUGAGGUCUGCAGCGUAGAUCCUUCGGGGUUAGAUACAUUUGUGCUAAGUUAUAGCCUUUCAUAGACAACUUGUUGACUAUGAUCAGUCAUGUAGCUUACUCGCUUAUGCUAUUUUACCUACGCUUAGGAUGUUGAUGUGAUACUGCGAGCA